AUAUUUUUAAAUUAAUUUAGAAUAGAUUAGCAAUCCCUCCUAAUCCCCGGCCUAGAACGAUACCCUACUUACAAGUUACAUCUAUACUACAAUUGUCAAAAAGAGGGUUUAAUUUGUGUGUCAAGUAAUUUUCGCAUCAAUUCAUAAGUUGUGAAUUCAAUUUACUUAUCCGUUCAUAUAAAAACUAAUUUGUGUAUGUUGGUUAAGAGUGCACGCUUAAUUUUCAUGCAUCAAUUUGACGCUAGAAUAUAAGGGAGUUUCACCUAAUCGUUAUAAACUUAUAUUCACAAGUAGU
rnacentral:lncRNA from 1 species